rnacentral:lncRNA from 1 species
CUAGUCUGUUUGUUUUUCCAAAAGUUUUGCCCGUGAUAGCUGUUACUCCGGGUUUUCAAAAUAAUUUGCCGGUGCAGAUUUUGGAGACUUUCUUUAUAACUAAUCAGAAAGAUGAAGAAGAGGUCAACGUGAUAUCUGGUAUUCAACAAGGUAAUUCUGAAAACGCAAAGUACAGAAACUUGUUGAACAGCAACAAUCGUGAGCACACAGUGUUUUUGAUCAAAACCAUUCGAGAGAGAAACAAAAGAUACUCCACAUAUGUUUCAUAUUGCCCCUUCAAAGUAUGUAAAUUUGGUAGACGACGAAGAACCAAACAACUUUUUGCAGAUCACCAAAGUUAACAUCAAUAGAAUAAUCUGUAAUUUUUGGCUAAAGAAAGUCUACUGAUUUGUCCACUUAUUCAGUUAACACCAAAAAACAAAUUUUGUACAAAUAUGCUUCAUGCAUUUACCCAUUAUGACGUAAAUUUAAUUAGUAUAAAUGAACUGUUUUUUAUAAAAAUGGUUAGUAGGUACUAAGUAAAGAAUAAGGCUAAUUUUCA